AUUGAACGCUGGCGGCAGGCCUAACACAUGCAAGUCGAGCGGAUGAAGGGAGCUUUCUCCUGGAUUCAGCGGCGGACGGGUGAGUAAUGCCUAGGAAUCUGCCUGGUAGUGGGGGAUAACGUCCGGAAACGGGCGCUAAUACCGCAUACGUCCUGAGUGAGAAAGUGGGGGAUCUUCGGACCCCACGCUAUCAGAUGAGCCUAGGUCGGAUUAGCUAGUUGGUGGGGUAAAGGCCUACCAAGGCGACGAUCCGUAACUGGUCUGAGAGGAUGAUCAGUCACACUGGAACUGAGACACGGUCCAGACUCCUACGGGAGGCAGCAGUGGGGAAUAUUGGACAAUGGGCGAAAGCCUGAUCCAGCCAUGCCGCGUGUGUGAAGAAGGUCUUCGGAUUGUAAAGCACUUUAAGUUGGGAGGAAGGGCAGUAAGUUAAUACCUUGCUGUUUUGACGUUACCAACAGAAUAAGCACCGGCUAACUUCGUG
rnacentral:rRNA from 1 species